rnacentral:rRNA from 1 species
UGCCAGACUCCUACGGGAGGCAGCAGUGGGGAAUAUUGCACAAUGGGGGAAACCCUGAUGCAGCGACGCCGCGUGAGCGAUGAAGUAUUUCGGUAUGUAAAGCUCUAUCAGCAGGGAAGAAAAUGACGGUACCUGACUAAGGAGCCCCGGCUAACUACGUGCCAGCAGCCGCGGUAAUACGUAGGGGGCAAGCGUUAUCCGGAUUUACUGGGUGUAAAGGGAGCGUAGACGGUUCUGCAAGCCAGAUGUGAAAGCCCGGGGCUCAACCCCGGGACUGCAUUUGGAACAGUAAGGCUAGAGUGUCGGAGAGGCAGGCGGAAUUCCUAGUGUAGCGGUGAAAUGCGUAGAUAUUAGGAGGAACACCAGUGGCGAAGGCGGCCUGCUGGACGAUGACUGACGUUGAGGCUCGAAAGCGUGGGGAGCAACCAGGAUU